rnacentral:rRNA from 1 species
GUGCCAGCCGCCGCGGUAAUACGUAGGGUGCGAGCGUUGUCCGGAAUUACUGGGCGUAAAGAGCUCGUAGGUGGUUUGUCGCGUURUUCGUGAAAUCUCACGGCUUAACUGUGAGCGUGCGGGCGAUACGGGCAGACUAGAGUACUGCAGGGGAGACUGGAAUUCCUGGUGUAGCGGUGGAAUGCGCAGAUAUCAGGAGGAACACCGGUGGCGAAGGCGGGUCUCUGGGCAGUAACUGACGCUGAGGAGCGAAAGCGUGGGGAGCGAACAGGAUUAGAUACCCUGGUAGUCCACGCCGUAAACGGUGGGUACUAGGUGUGGGUUUCCUUCCUUGGGAUCCGUGCCGUAGCUAACGCAUUAAGUACCCCGCCUGGGGAGUACGGCCGCAAGGCUAAAAACUCAAAGGAAUUGACGG